rnacentral:rRNA from 1 species
AACGAACGCUGGCGGCAGGCCUAACACAUGCAAGUCGAACGGACGUAGCAAUACGUUAGUGGCGCACGGGAGAGUAACGCGUGGGAACCUACCUUUUGGUUCGGGAUAACAUCGGGAAACUGGUGCUAAUACCGGAUAAGCCCUUCGGGGGAAAGAUUUAUUGCCGAAAGAUGGGCCCGCGGUGGAUUAGCUAGUUGGUGAGGUAAUGGCUCACCAAGGCAACGAUCCAUAGCUGGUCUGAGAGGAUGAUCAGCCUCACUGGGACUGAGACACGGCCCAGACUCCUACGGGAGGCAGCAGUGGGGAAUAUUGGACAAUGGGGGAAACCCUGAUCCAGCCAUGCCGCGUGAAUGAUGAAGGCCUUCGGGUUGUAAAGUUCUUUUGGUGGGGACGAUGAUGACGGUACCCACAGAGUAAGCUCCGGCUAACUUCGUGCCAGCAGCCGCAGUAA